UCAUACCGAGAACACGUUUGGCGUUGUAAAUACCAAGUCAACAAAUCAAUCUUACAUCUGAUUACGAUAUAAACUACAGCUGUGUAUGUUUCAAUUCAAUGUUUCAAUUAUUCUACGAUUUUGCUGAUAAUUCAUAUUUUUUUCGAUAUACGUGCGUUUUUUAUCGAUUUGAUUCGAAUUUUUCAACACUUGAUCAAUCGAUUGAUCCGGAGUUUAGACAGAUUGUUGAAUUCAAGUCAUCAGUGUAAAUGGCGAAUCGUUUCAAGCCAUCCAUACCAGCGAAGGGAGAAACGAAGGAUGAGAUUACGACGAUCAAAUGUGCGCUGAAGGCAAUCAUUCGUCCACAAUUCCAGCAAGCAUUGAUGAGCAAAAUAACGGACCUGAGCUUGCAAGCCACUUCAAUUUGCGUUUUGGGCUCAUUACUGUUCUUUUUUGAGGUGCAAAAGGCGUACGAACAUAGGCAUUGAGAAUAAUAAUUUCGCAUUAUUUGGUGAAAUUGGAGAAAAAAAGAUCAAACUCUGCUUUAACCAAGUGCUAUGGCAUAACAAUCAGCCACCGAAACCGAAGUCGAGGUACAAACCACAAGGAACAAAGCCGCGAGGACCACGAGCAGAGCUGCCACGUAUCGAUUCUGAAUUCAAAGCAAUUGUUGAAGGUCUUGACGACUAAGUUCGCAUCGAUUGGCCCAAUAACAAAGAUUUCAGCAAUGGCCUCAAGCAUUUGACCAAUCAAUACACAGACAACGUCGUCACCAAUUCAACAACGCAUCCUAACAAACACAUCACCCAGUUCUUGAAACUGAAAGUGUGUCAAUAAAGAAGCGCCGAAAUUAUGUCAUAGAUCUGGUGGACGAAUGGGGAACAUCUCAAACAGCCAACAAAAAUUGUGUCAAAGUUGGGCAAGACGGAUUUAUCGGUAUUCCGACAGUUGCAACGCGCAAUGAACGAAGCAUCGGAAGAAGACGAGCCUUUAUUGUAAAAAGUAAAAAGUAACUAUAAAAACUGGCAAUUAAACCUCGAAUGCUCUGUGACUUGGCAUUGUGACGUCGUGGCUGCUAAGAACAUUCUGCUGAAAGGACUAUGGACAUUGCUGGGAUUUCCGAUACCGGGGGCAAUCAAUAGAUAUUUGUACAAAGCCCGCGAAGCUGUCGCUGAGGCCACAGAAGUAGCCGCUGCUACUGCCGCCAACGUGGAUAAUGAUGUAGAAAUGUUUGAAUUGAAACAUACCAUUUUUUUAUUUACAGAUAUGAGAAACACCCUACCGUUGAAAAAAAGAAAAAGAAAUUAUUUGUACAUAAUUGAAAAUAAACCAUUUUUAUUCUUUUAACCCA